rnacentral:rRNA from 1 species
CCUACGGGGCGCACCAGUGGGGAAUAUUGCACAAUGGGCGCAAGCCUGAUGCAGCCAUGCCGCGUGUAUGAAGAAGGCCUUAGGGUUGUAAAGUACUUUCAGUUGGGAGGAAGGCGUUGAUGCUAAUAUCAUCAACGAUUGACGUUACCAACAGAAGAAGCACCGGCUAACUCCGUGCCAGCAGCCGCGGUAAUACGGAGGGUGCAAGCGUUAAUCGGAAUUACUGGGCGUAAAGCGCACGCAGGCGGUUGAUUAAGUUAGAUGUGAAAUCCCCGGGCUUAACCUGGGAAUGGCAUCUAAGACUGGUCAGCUAGAGGCUUGUAGAGGGGGGUAGAAUUUCAUGUGGAGCGGUGAAAUGCGUAGAGAUGUGGAGGAAUACCGGUGGCGAAGGCGGCCCCCUGGACAAAGACUGACGCUCAGGUGCGAAAGCGUGGGUAGCAAACAGGAUUCGAUACCCGAGUAGUC